GAUGAGAUUUCCCAACUUCGGUUAUAAGAUCCCUCAAAGAUGAUGAGGUUAAUAGGUUCGAGGUGGAAGCAUGGUGACAUGUGGAGCUGACGAAUACUAAUCGAUCGAAGACUUAAUCAAAA
rnacentral:rRNA from 1 species